UGCCAUUUCUGGAGGUCAGGGGG
rnacentral:piRNA from 1 species